rnacentral:rRNA from 1 species
GACGAACGCUGGCGGCGUGCUUAACACAUGCAAGUCGAACGGUAAGGCCCUUCGGGGUACACGAGUGGCGAACGGGUGAGUAACACGUGGGUGAUCUGCCCUGCACUUCGGGAUAAGCCUGGGAAACUGGGUCUAAUACCGGAUAGGACCACUGCCUGCAUGGGUGGUGGUGGAAAGCUUUUGCGGUGUGGGAUGGGCCCGCGGCCUAUCAGCUUGUUGGUGGGGUGAUGGCCUACCAAGGCGACGACGGGUAGCCGGCCUGGGAGGGUGACCAGCCACGCUGGGACUGAGAUACGGCCCAGACUCCUACGGGAGGCAGCAGUGGGGAAUAUUGCACAAUGGGCGCAAGCCUGAUGCAGCGACGCCGCGUGAGGGAUGACGGCCUUCGGGUUGUAAACCUCUUUCAGCACCGACGAAGCGCAAGUGACGGUAGGUGCAGAAGAAGGACCGGCCAACUACGUGCCAGCAGCCGCCGUAA